rnacentral:rRNA from 1 species
UCUGAGAGUUUGAUCCUGGCUCAGAACGAACGCUGGCGGCAUGCCUAACACAUGCAAGUCGAACGCACUCUUCGGAGUGAGUGGCGCACGGGUGAGUAAC